rnacentral:hammerhead_ribozyme from 1 species
AUCUAGCUGACCAAUCCCAAAUAGGACGAAACACGCAUCUUGGAU